GCGCCCGUAGCUCAUUUGGAUAGAGCGCGGCCCUCCGGAGGCCGAGGUAGUGGGUUCGAGUCCCGCCGGGCGCG
rnacentral:tRNA from 1 species